GACAGAGGUGCCAAGCGUUAGGCGGAAUCACUGGGCUUAAAGCGUGUGUAGGCGGAUGUCUAAGUACCUUGUGAAAUCCCACGGCUCAACCGUGGAACUGCUUGGUAUACUGGAUGUCUUGAGCCAUCUAGGGGCUACCGGAACAAAUGGUGGAGCGGUGAAAUGCGUAGAUAUCAUUUGGAACGCCAAUGGUGAAAACAGGUUGCUGGGGGUGUGCUGACGCUGAGACACGAAAGCCAGGGGAGCGAACGGG
rnacentral:rRNA from 1 species